rnacentral:rRNA from 1 species
GUGAGGAAUAUUCCGCAAUGGGGGAAACCCUGACGGAGCAAUGCCGCGUGCAGGAUGAAGGCCCUCGGGUCGUAAACUGCUUUUAUAUGAGAAGAAUAUGACGGUAACAUAUGAAUAAGGGACGGCUAACUACGUGCCAGCAGCCGCGGUCAUACGUAGGUCCCAAGCGUUAUCCGGAGUGACUGGGCGUAAAGAGUUGCGUAGGCGGCUCGUUAAGCGUGAAAUGAAAUUUAUCGGCUCAACCGGUAAACUAUUUCGCGAACUGACGGGGUCGAGAGUAUGAGAGGUUACUGGAAUGUCUAGUGUAGCAGUGAAAUGCGUAGAUAUUAGAAAGAACACCAACGGCGUAGGCAGGUAACUGGCAUACAUCUGACGCUGAGGCACGAAAGCGUGGGGAGCGAACCGGAUUAGAUACCCUAGUAGUCC